UCCGAGUUGACCCCGGCAGUCUCCUAUGAGUCCCCGGCAUUAUCCGCUGGCAACAUAGGACGAGGGUUGCGCUCGUUGCGGGACUUAACCCAACAUCUCACGACACGAGCUGACGACAGCCAUGCAGCACCUGUGUAGGCUUCCCUUGCGGGUUCGUCAGACUUUCAUCCUUCUACUACCUACAUGUCAAGGCCAGGUAAGGUUCUUCGCGUUGCAUCGAAUUGAGCCACAUACUCCACCGCUUGUGCAGGCCCCCGUCAAUUUCUUUGAGUUUUAAUCUUGCGACCGUACUUCCCAGGCGGCACAUUUAACGCGUUGGCUACGCCACAAAAGGGGUCGAAUCCUUUUACAGCAAAUGUGCACCGUUUACGGCUAGGACUAC
rnacentral:misc_RNA from 1 species